AGCAACCGGGGGGGAGGAGGGCACGACGCGGCGCUAACACGCCGGUUAGCUAGCGACCGCGCUGCUAGCCGGGGGCGGACAGCGGAGCCCACAGCCUCGCGCCGAACACGACGCACGAGCCGAGCGACCUCACACCCGCUUGAUUUGAACCGAAGCUCGUGCUCGUUCGACCGGGUGCUCCGGCUGACACAUGCGGGCUGACACCGCGGCGGCGGCGGCUCGCUAACAUUAGCCACCGGCUCAACUUACCUCUUUGAGUGAGGGAGAAGAACUCUGUACGGAGGAGACGUAGCGGUCCACUUCAGCCUUACUCCGCCGCAUGGCUCCAGAGACAGCGGACUAAGCGUUGACUGCCCAUGGCGAUGGUGCGCAGUCUCAAAUCCAGCAAACUGCAGGAUGUCACGUGGGCCGAGCGCUUUCUUGAAUCGCCCUCCUUAAACCAAUGAGGAGGGAGUAUUCGGCAUGACGCACGCUGACGCACUUCACUUUACAGGAAGUCCCGGGCUGUGACGGGGUCCUCAACUGUUCGACACCGAUUAAAUCCCAAUUAAUGCGCCGUUGUUUUUACAAGUUUGCAGUUCAAAGUUUGAACCUGUGUGUGAAUAAAACAUGGAAUAAUACAAUAAACUAUGCAAACUUGAAAAUUUUAAGCAAGAAAAUAA